rnacentral:rRNA from 1 species
CCUACGGGUGGCUGCAGUGAGGAAUAUUGGUCAAUGGGCGCGAGCCUGAACCAGCCAAGUCGCGUGAGGGAAGACGGUCCUAUGGAUUGUCAACCUCUUUUGUCGGGGAGCAAAAGACGCCACGCGUGGCGUUCCGCGAGUACCCGAAGAAAAAGCAUCGGCUAACUCCGUGCCAGCAGCCGCGGUAAUACGGGGGAUGCGAGCGUUAUCCGGAUGUAUUGGGUUUAAAGGGUGCGCAUGCGGAAGCUCAAGGCCGCGGUAAAAUUGAGCGGCUCAACCUGUGCGAGCCGUUGAAACUGGUGGGCUGGAGUGAGCGAGAAGUAGGCGGAAUGCGUGGUGUAGCGGUGAAAUGCAUAGAUAUCACGCAGAACUCCGAUUGCGAAGGCAGCAUACCGGAGCGCAACUGACGCUCAUGCACGAAAGUGUGGGUAUCGAACAGGAUUAGAUACCCGAGUAGUC